rnacentral:rRNA from 1 species
GCUCAGAACGAACGCUGGCGGCGUGGUUGAUACAUGCAAGUCGAACGGGAACGUAUCCUUCGGGAUACUAGUACAGUGGCGAACGGGUGAGUAACACGUGAUCAAUGUGCCUUCGGGACCGGGAUAGCCACCCGAAAGGGUGGGUAAUACCGGAUGUGACCACAGUACCCCAUGGUGCAGUGGUAAAAGGUCCGCCGCCCGAAGAGCGGAUCGCGGCCUAUCAGCUUGUUGGCGGGGUAACGGCCCACCAAGGCAGCGACGGGUAGCCGGCCUGAGAGGGCGAUCGGCCACACUGGGACUGAGACACGGCCCAGACUCCUACGGGAGGCAGCAGUGCUGAAUCAUUCACAAUGGGCGCAAGCCUGAUGAUGCGACGCCGCGUGCGGGAUGAAGGCCUUCUGGGUUGUAAACCGCUGUCAGGACUUAGGAAGCUCUGACCAAGUCCAAAGGAAGCACCGGCUAAAUUCGUGCCAGCAGCCGCGGUAAUACGAAUGGUGCAAGCGUUGUUCGGAAUCACUGGGCAUAAAGAGUGCGUAGGCGGCUUGGUAAGUCAGCUGUGUAAGCCCUCGGCUUAACCGGGGAAUUGCAGCUGAUACUGCCUGGCUUGAGGCUGUGAGGGGUGAGCGGAAUUCCAGGUGUAGCGGUGAAAUGCGUAGAUCUCUGGGAGAACGCCAGCGGCGAAGGCGGCUCACUGGUGCAGUCCUGACGCUGAGGCACGAAAGCGUGGGGAGCAAACAGGAUUAGAUACCCUGGUAGUCCACGCCGUAAACGAUGGGCACUUUGUGGAGGGGGGAGUCGAUCUCCUCUCUGCCGGAGCAAAUGCGUUAAGUGCCCCGCCUGGGGAGUAUGGUCGACAGGCUAAAACUCAAAGCGAUUGACGGGGGCUCACACAGCGGUGGAGGAUGUUGUUCAAUUCGAAGCAACGCGAAGAACCUUACCUGGGU